rnacentral:rRNA from 1 species
UACGUAGGGGGCAAGCGUUGUCCGGAUUUAUUGGGCGUAAAGAGCUCGUAGGUGGUUCGGUAAGUCGGAUGUGAAAUCUCCAGGCUCAACCUGGAGGGGUCAUUCGAUACUGCCGUGACUAGAGGUCGGUAGGGGAGUGUGGAAUUCCGGGUGUAGCGGUGAAAUGCGUAGAUAUCAGGAGGAAUACCGAUGGCGAAGGCAGGUCUCUGGGCUGACACUGACGCUCAUGCACGAAAGCGUGGGGAGCAAACAGG